CCUACGGGAGGCAGCAGUGGGGAAUAUUGGACAAUGGGGGGAACCCUGAUCCAGCGACGCCGCGUGAGUGAAGAAGUAUUUCGGUAUGUAAAGCUCUAUCAGCAGGGAAGAAAGAAAUGACGGUACCUGACUAAGAAGCCCCGGCUACCUACGUGCCCGCAGCCGCGGUAAGACGUAGGGGGCAAGCGUUAUCCGGAUUUACUGGGGGGAAGGGGAGCGUCGACGGCGAUGCAAGUCUGAUGUGAAAGGCGGGGGCCCAACCCCUGGACUGCUUUGGAAACUGUAGGGCUGGAGUGCAGGAGAGGUAAGUGGAAUUCUUAGUGUAGCGGUGAAAUGCGUAGAUAUUAGGAGGAACACCAGUGGCGAAGGCGGCUUACUGGACUGUAACUGACGUUGAGGCUCGAAAGCGUGGGGAGCAAACAGGAUUAGAUACCCCAGUAGUC
rnacentral:rRNA from 1 species